UAGUUGGCAGGGUAAAAGCCUACCAAGGCAGAGAUCGGUAGCCGGCCUGAGAGGGCACACGGCCACACUGGCACUGAAACACGGGCCAGACUCCUACGGGAGGCAGCAGUGGGGAAUCUUGCACAAUGGGGGCAACCCUGAUGCAGCGACGCCGCGUGAGCGAUGAAGCCCUUCGGGGUGUAAAGCUCUUUCGUCAGGGAAGAUAAUGACGGUACCUGGAGAAGCAGCUGCGGCUAACUACGUGCCAGCAGCCGCGGUAAUACGUAGGCAGCGAGCGUUGUUCGGAGUUACUGGGCGUAAAGGGUGUGUAGGCGGUUCUUUAAGUUUGGUGUGAAAUCUCCCGGCUCAACCGGGAGGGUGCGCCGAAUACUGAGGGACUAGAGUACGGGAGAGGAAAGUGGAAUUCCUGGUGUAGCGGUGAAAUGCGUAGAUAUCAGGAGGAACACCGGUGGUGUAGACGGCUUUCUGGACCGUAACUGACGCUGAGACACGAAAGCGUGGGUAGCAAACAGGAUUAGAUACCCUGGUAGUCCACGCCCUAAACGAUGCAUAUUUGGUGUGGGUCAUUCAGUUGAUCCGUGCCGGAGCUAACGCGUUAAAUAUGCCGCCUGGGGAGUACAGUCGCAAGGCUGAAACUCAAAGGAAUUGACG
rnacentral:rRNA from 1 species